CCUAUCGAGCCCUGGCUCUCCGGGCAGCUGGAGGGGUCGCGCUGCGCCUGUUGGGGCUGCACCUCGGACCAGGGCUUCUGCUGCAUCUGCAGCCAUGUCGGGCCGCUCAGUGCCACAUGCCCACCCGGCCACCGCCGAGUACGAAUUUGCCAACCCGAGCCGCCUGGGUGAGCAGCGCUUCGGAGAAGGUUUCUUUUUAUUGAAGCUUGAAGCUCAAGUUCAUGGCUUCAUCAAAAGACGCUUCAAAUCCUGAAGUUGAGAUAGCUCUCACCUGGAGCCCGUGUGUUGUUCUACCCUUUGGCUGGGAACACAGUCACCUGGGAAUCAUUCCAGCAGGUGGCUUCAAAAGUCCAACCUGCUAGGUUGAAAUCUGACACUGACACAGACUCCGGGAGCUGCCGCGGAAAGCUCAACCAGGAACCCGGAAAUGCACAAGCCUCUUGAUGCAUAAAAACAGCUGGGCUCCCUUGGAGACAGAGCGCCAUGGGAAACCGGGUCUGCUGCGGAGGAAGCUGGAGCUGCCCAUCAACUUUCCAGAAGAAAAAGAAAACAGGAAGCCAAACAAGACGGACACUGAAGCCGCAGCCACAACAGCUGCAGCAGAAUCUCCCAAAGGGCCAUGAAACAACAGGACAUACGUAUGAACGGGUGUUACAGCAGCAAGGGUCUCAAGAGAGGAGUCCAGGCCUCAUGUCGGAAGACAGCAACUUACAUUAUGCUGACAUUCAAGUGUGCAGCCGUCCCCAUGCCCGGGAAGUGAAACACGUGCAUUUAGAAAACGCUACAGAGUAUGCGACCCUUCGCUUCCCCCAGGCCACACCUCGCUAUGACAGCAAGAACGGGACCCUGGUGUGAGCGCUUGGGAGGAAGGCCCAGUCCAUCGUUAACCACUACACCUGUGGGGGAGAACCUACUGCUUUGGGGAAUUGGGUGGCAACCCAGGGAUGUUGUCCACGUUUUAAGCUUAAAGAACUCCAAAGCCCCUGGAAUUGUGGGCGUCCCAUUUUCUCCCCUGGCCUCUUACUUGCCACUGUUAGGUUGGAGUUAAUAGUUGGUUUAGCUAUGGGUGGAUAGCUAAACUUAGCUAUCCACAUGAGGUUAGGUGGAGUGUGCAGGGAGGUAGGUCUUCGACCCCACCAUUGUUGCUCCUGCUCUUGCAAAGUGCAGAAAGAGCAGGUAAAAAGUUAGCCCAUAAGCACGUGGGCUGAUCUUGUUGGACUUUAAUUAAUGGUAUCCUUUUUCACACACCUUAAACUCCAAAGCUGAAGGGGAGGUGCUCCGGAAAAGCAUUCUGAGCUUUUACAUUCAGACACUAGGGCUGGCUUGGGCCAUUUCCUCAGUGGCUGAGUCAGGUUCCAGACCUUAACAGACAAAUGGGGGAAGGGGGCUGAGGCGUGGAGGAAACGCUUUCAGGACCUCAAGUCAGUGAUAACCGACAGCACAGUGAGGCCUGGAAACUUCCCUCGGAGGGACUGUUGGCUCUCGCAGGUGCGGGGCCGCUAGGAUCAAUAAACGGCCUGAGAAACAAAAAAAAAAAAAAAAAAAAAAAAAAAAA
rnacentral:lncRNA from 1 species